AGGUAAUCUGUGAAAAUGGUUCACUAUUAACUUGAUCCGGAGAACCCCACAAAGUCAUGCAAAUCAAGAGGUUCCAAUCUUCGUGUUCACUUUAAGAACACACGUGACACUGCCCAGGCCAUCAAGGGUAUCCAUAUACGAAAAGCCACGAAGUAUCUGAAAGAUGUCACUUUACAGAAACAGUGCGUACCAUUCCGACGUUACAAUGGUGGAGUUGGCAGGUGUGCCCAGGCCAAGCAGUGGGGCUGGACACAAGGUCGGUGGCCCAAAAAGAGUGCUGAAUUUUUGCUGCACAUGCUUAAAAAUGCAGAGAGUAAUGCUGAACUUAAGGGUUUAGAUGUAGAUUCUCUGGUCAUUGAGCAUAUCCAAGUGAACAAAGCACCCAAGAUGCGCCACCGGACCUACAGAACUCAUGAUCCUUACUGAAAAGGAACAGAUUGUUCCUAAACCAGAAGAGGAGGUUGCCCAGAAGAAGAAGAUAUCCCAGAAGAAACUGAAGAAACAAAAACUUAUGGCACAGGAGUAAAUUCAGCCUUAAAAUAAAUGCAAC